rnacentral:rRNA from 1 species
AAUCGGGGCAGGGUGAGUCGACCCCUAAGGCGAGGCCGAAAGGCGUAGUCGAUGGGAAACAGGUUAAUAUUCCUGUACUUGGUGUUACUGCGAAGGGGGGACGGAGAAGGCUAUGUUGGCCGGGCGACGGUUGUCCCGGUUUAAGCGUGUAGGCUGGUUUUCCAGGCAAAUCCGGAAAACCAAGGCUGAGGCGUGAUGACGAGGCACUACGGUGCUGAAGCGACAAAUGCCCUGCUUCCAGGAAAAGCCUCUAAGCAUCAGGUAACAUCAAAUCGUACCCCAAACCGACACAGGUGGUCAGGUAGAGAAUACCAAGGCGCUUGAGAGAACUCGGGUGAAGGAACUAGGCAAAAUGGUGCCGUAACUUCGGGAGAAGGCACGCUGAUAUGUAGGUGAAGCGACUUGCUCGUGGAGCUGAAAUCAGUCGAAGAUACCAGCUGGCUGCAACUGUUUAUUAAAAACACAGCACUGUGCAAACACGAAAGUGGACGUAUACGGUGUGACGCCUGCCCGGUGCCGGAAGGUUAAUUGAUGGGGUUAGCGGCAACGCGAAGCUCUUGAUCGAAGCCCCGGUAAACGGCGGCCGUAACUAUAACGGUCCUAAGGUAGCGAAAUUCCUUGUCGGGUAAGUUCCGACCUGCACGAAUGGCGUAAUGAUGGCCAGGCUGUCUCCACCCGAGACUCAGUGAAAUUGAACUCGCUGUGAAGAUGCAGUGUACCCGCGGCAAGACGGAAAGACCCCGUGAACCUUUACUAUAGCUUGACACUGAACAUUGAGCCUUGAUGUGUAGGAUAGGUGGGAGGCUUUGAAGUGUGGACGCCAGUCUGCAUGGAGCCGACCUUGAAAUACCACCCUUUAAUGUUUGAUGUUCUAACGUUGGCCCGUAAUCCGGGUUGCGGACAGUGUCUGGUGGGUAGUUUGACUGGGGCGGUCUCCUCCUAAAGAGUAACGGAGGAGCACGAAGGUUGGCUAAUCCUGGUCGGACAUCAGGAGGUUAGUGCAAUGGCAUAAGCCAGCUUGACUGCGAGCGUGACGGCGCGAGCAGGUGCGAAAGCAGGUCAUAGUGAUCCGGUGGUUCUGAAUGGAAGGGCCAUCGCUCAACGGAUAAAAGGUACUCCGGGGAUAACAGGCUGAUACCGCCCAAGAGUUCAUAUCGACGGCGGUGUUUGGCACCUCGAUGUCGGCUCAUCACAUCCUGGGGCUGAAGUAGGUCCCAAGGGUAUGGCUGUUCGCCAUUUAAAGUGGUACGCGAGCUGGGUUUAGAACGUCGUGAGACAGUUCGGUCCCUAUCUGCCGUGGGCGCUGGAGAACUGAGGGGGGCUGCUCCUAGUACGAGAGGACCGGAGUGGACGCAUCACUGGUGUUCGGGUUGUCAUGCCAAUGGCACUGCCCGGUAGCUAAAUGCGGAAGAGAUAAGUGCUGAAAGCAUCUAAGCACGAAACUUGCCCCGAGAUG